rnacentral:tRNA from 1 species
AGGGAGUUAGCUCAAUUGGUAGAGCACUAGAUUGAAGCUCUAGGUGUUAUUGGUUCAAGUCCAAUACUUCCUA